rnacentral:ncRNA from 1 species
UGGUUUAGAGGUUGAAAAGUAUCCCGCUCCAACGCGCCACCAGUAAUGGUGGGCCGAGAAAUGUGGGCGACCGCGGGUCCCACCUAAGCUA